GGAGAAGUGGCAGAGUGGUCGAAUGUACUUGACUCGAAAUCAAGCGUAGGGGCGACCCUACCGAGGGUUCGAAUCCCUCCUUCUCCGCCA
rnacentral:tRNA from 9 species